rnacentral:tRNA from 1 species
GGGCUUGUAACUCAGUGGUAGAGUGUGCGCCUGAUAAGCGUAAAGCCAAUCGUUCAAUCCGAUUCUGGCCCA